UUUGGCUUGUUUUAUAUGAUAUGUGUUGAUAUAGGUAGGAGGAAAAAAAGUUAUGCCGAAAACACUAUGAAAGUUUAAGGGAAUAUGAGAUUCUAUGUAUGAGGAAUGAUUGUUGUGCGAAUGUGUGUGUUGAUAGGAAAAGGUUAUGCCGAAAACACUAUGAAAGUUUUAAGGGAAUAUGGGAUUCUAUGUAUGAGGAAUGAUUAUGUAUGAAUAUGUGUGUAACAAUCUCUUCCUUCCCUUCACUCCUUCAUACACUACUUUUUUAUAGAUAUCUUUGAGCAUGAGUGUGUGAUGCACCUAUAAUUUCUGUGGUUGCCUUUAUCUCCUUGAUUGCCCUUUUGAGAUUAUUUCCUUCUUGAGAUCAUUCCUCUAUGCAAAUGCUAAUUAUUGCUGUUUAUUAUUCACUUACUAUUAAUUAUUGAAAUCAAAAUGAUUUGAAUCUAUAUUUAAUGGCCGACUAAUUUUAUUUCCUAGCAUUGAUUAUUAUUAACUGUGUAUAUCUCCAUAUGCGGAUUGUAUGA